GGAAGGAGACGGUGGCUGACUCCAUAUCCAUCUGGUACGAUGUCGGCGGCAUCGUAGGGGGAACUAUAGGAGGUUUUAUAUCUGACAGGUUUGAGAGGAGAGCAAUAGUUGUCAUCCCGAUGCUGGGGCUUGCCAUUCCAUCACUGUUUAUAUAUGGCAGUAAGUACAUAGCAGG